rnacentral:lncRNA from 1 species
CCUGUUUUUACGAUUAAUCCUGAGAAGCGCUACACUACAGUAACGCAAGAGUUAGCACGUGCUGGGUCACGUGUGUAAAUACCGUUACAGCGAGCGUUUUAACCACGCCCAUUUCGAAUCUUUGUAUUUACAUUUUAACGUUCGUAACGGUCGAUCGUCACGAUUUUUCUUAUUUGCGCUGCUCUCUCAGUUUUGUUCGGGUCACGUCCAUUCCUCACGUAUUUUUCUGCUCUUUUAAUUACGCCACAUUUGCUCUUGACACAAACCACAGUCUCGGUCCCCGGUGACGCGAAACUGCGGAUUUUGAAAAAAUUUUUCAUUUCGGCGCGAUUCCAGCGACACUCAACACGGAGAAAAUGAGUUCUCUGCUCCAGCAACGAGAAGAGGGUCGCCACUUUUUUGGCGAUGAUUUUCCAGUGAUAAUGAGUGAAGACGAAGAGUCUUUAAAUGAGACAACAGGGGACCUCACUGAAUGGAAGCCUGUCGACUGCUCAGAGAGUGGCGCCGUCUCCCGUACUGCCGCACCGCUCGCUGAGAGCGGAGGGACCCAGGAGUCAGUCAAGAACUCCCUGACUGACUCUGUGAACCAUGUGUGGCAGCACUGCUAUGAUACCUCGGAAAAUACGCCAAAUUGCAGUUACCGUUUGAGAUCUCACGCAGAUGAGAAGCUAUACGUGUGUCUCGUGUGCUCUAAGUGUUUUUGCACCCGGAGCCAGCUCACUCGCCACUAUCAAGCAUGUAUCUUCGCCGAUUCGGAACAAUAUGACAAACAUGCUGCUACAGAGCUGAAGAGUGAGUCUGAGGAGUCUUCUCCUAGCUCUGACUCAUGCUCGCCAUUAAUGCUGAAGUACACCUGCCAAAUAUGCUUUUAUGCUACUGGUAGUUUGGCACAUUUUAAUUGCCAUUUAAGAACACACAGGGGUGAGAAACCAUACAUGUCUCGUACCUGGAGCCAUCUGAUCCGACACAUUCGGACGUGCAACUAUAGAGACCUCUCCAGUCUUGCUUUAAAGAUGCAGAAGUGUGAGUUUUGCAAGUACGCCACUAAUUCCCCAUAUAACUUAGGGGUCCACAAGCGAAUCCAUGCAGGCCAGCAAUGUGCACUGGCAGUGGUUCAUAACAUAGAAUCGGAAGUACUGAAAGUGGACAUCUAAAUGUAUUCUAAACUUGAACUGCAAAAAGAAGACAACUGUAAUGUCCAUGGUAGCACUGAGCGCUUUUUAAAUAUUUGCAUUUGUAUUUUGGUUCAUGUAUUAGUUUUAAUACUUGGCAAUUUCAAACUGGACCACUGCCAGUAUACUGACUAUUAUGAAUUUUUUGCUGUAUAUGACUCCUUUAAAGUCAGUGAAAGUGUCUUAUAGUUGCUUGCUUAGUAUUUCUGAUUUUUUCUUUUAUGUCAUGACAUAAAAACUUCUCUGUUUUUCC